CUCUCCUCACUCACCCUUCCUGGUGCUUUGGGCUCUCCUUCCUUCUCAGACAAGAUGUCUUAUCAGAAAAAGCAGCCCACCCCUCAGCCCCCAGUGGACUGCGUGAAGACCUCUGGCGGCGGUGGCGGUGGCGGCGGCAGCGGCGGUGGUGGCUGCGGCUUCUUCGGCGGCGGCGGCUCAGGGGGCGGUAGCAGCGGUUCUGGCUGCGGCUACUCCGGCGGCGGUGGCUACUCUGGCGGCGGCUGCGGCGGGGGCUCCUCCGGCGGCGGGGGCGGGGGCGGCAUUGGAGGCUGCGGAGGGGGCUCCGGUGGGAGCGUCAAGUACUCCGGAGGCGGCGGCUCCUCCGGCGGGGGCUCUGGCUGUUUCUCCAGCGGUGGGGGCGGCUCCGGCUGCUUCUCCUCCGGUGGCGGCGGCUCCUCCGGGGGCGGCUCCGGCUGCUUCUCCAGCGGUGGGGGCGGCUCCUCCGGGGGCGGCUCCGGCUGCUUCUCCUCCGGCGGCGGCGGCUUCUCGGGCCAGGCGGUCCAGUGCCAGAGCUACGGAGGCGUCUCUAGCGGCGGCUCCUCCGGGGGCGGCUCCGGCUGCUUCUCCAGCGGCGGGGGCGGCGGCUCUGUCUGCGGCUACUCUGGCGGCGGCUCUGGCUGCGGCGGAGGCUCCUCUGGCGGCAGCGGCUCCGGCUACGUCUCCUCGCAGCAGGUCACUCAGACCUCGUGCGCGCCCCAGCCGAGUUACGGAGGGGGGUCGUCCGGCGGCGGCGGCAGCGGCGGAAGCGGCUGCUUCUCCAGCGGCGGGGGCGGCGGGAGCUCCGGCUGCGGCGGCGGCUCCUCCGGGAUUGGCAGCGGCUGCAUCAUCAGUGGCGGGGGCUCCGUCUGCGGAGGUGGUUCCUCUGGAGGCGGCGGCGGCGGCUCCUCCGUGGGUGGCUCCGGGAGUGGCAAGGGCGUCCCGAUCUGCCACCAGACCCAGCAGAAGCAGGCGCCUACCUGGCCGUCCAAAUAGAUCCCCCAGGGUACCACGGAGGCGAAGGAGUUGGAGGUGUUUUCCAGGGGCACCGAUGGGCUUAGAGCUCUCAUGAUGCUACCCGAGGUUUGCAAAUCCUUCAUGUCUUAACCUACCUGGAAGAAGCCAUUGAGCUCUCCGGCUGCAUCUAGUUCUGCUGUUUAGCCUCUUUGGUUUCUGUACAACUACCUCCCAACCCCAGUGCCUCAGUCAAUAAAUUUGCAAAUUCAUGAGAA
rnacentral:misc_RNA from 1 species